GACGAACGCUGGCGGCGUGCUUAACACAUGCAAGUCGAACGGAAAGGCCCUGCUUUUGUGGGGUGCUCGAGUGGCGAACGGGUGAGUAACACGUGAGUAACCUGCCCUUGACUUUGGGAUAACUUCAGGAAACUGGGGCUAAUACCGGAUAGGAGCUCCUGCUGCAUGGUGGGGGUUGGAAAGUUUCGGCGGUUGGGGAUGGACUCGCGGCUUAUCAGCUUGUUGGUGGGGUAGUGGCUUACCAAGGCUUUGGCGGGUAGCCGGCCUGGGAGGGGGGCCGGGCACCUUGGGCCUGCGGGACGGCCCAGACGCCUACGGUGGGCAGUGGUGGGGAGUCUUGCACAACGGGCGGAAGUCUGAUGCAGCAACGCCGCGUUCGUGAUGACGGCCUUCGGGUUGUAAACCGCUUUCGCCUGUGACGAAGCGUGAGUGACGGUAAUGGGUAAAGAAGCACCGGCUAACUACGUG
rnacentral:rRNA from 1 species